rnacentral:rRNA from 1 species
AAAUUGAAGAGUUUGAUCAUGGCUCAGAUUGAACGCUGGCGGCAGGCCUAACACAUGCAAGUCGAACGGUAACAGGAAACAGCUUGCUGUUUCGCUGACGAGUGGCGGACGGGUGAGUAAUGUCUGGGAAACUGCCUGAUGGAGGGGGAUAACUACUGGAAACGGUAGCUAAUACCGCAUAAUGUCGCAAGACUAAAGAGGGGGACCUUCGGGCCUCUUGCCAUCGGAUGUGCCCAGAUGGGAUUAGCUAGUAGGUGGGGUAACGGCUCACCUAGGCGACGAUCCCUAGCUGGUCUGAGAGGAUGACCAGCCACACUGGAACUGAGACACGGUCCAGACUCCUACGGGAGGCAGCAGUGGGGAAUAUUGCACAAUGGGCGCAAGCCUGAUGCAGCCAUGCCGCGUGUAUGAAGAAGGCCUUCGGGUUGUAAAGUACUUUCAGCGGGGAGGAAGGGAGUAAAGUUAAUACCUUUACUCAUUGACGUUACCCGCAGAAGAAGCACC